UCUCCUACGGGUGGCAGCAGUGGGGAAUAUUGGACAAUGGGGGGAACCCUGAUCCAGCCAUGCCGCGUGUGUGAAGAAGGCCUUAUGGUUGUAAAGCACUUUAAGCGAGGAGGAGGCUACUAGUAUUAAUACUACUGGAUAGUGGACGUUACUCGCAGAAUAAGCACCGGCUAACUCUGUGCCAGCAGCCGCGGUAAUACAGAGGGUGCGAGCGUUAAUCGGAUUUACUGGGCGUAAAGCGUGCGUAGGCGGCCAUUUAAGUCAAAUGUGAAAUCCCCGAGCUUAACUUGGGAAUUGCAUUCGAUACUGGAUGGCUAGAGUAUGGGAGAGGAUGGUAGAAUUCCAGGUGUAGCGGUGAAAUGCGUAGAGAUCUGGAGGAAUACCGAUGGCGAAGGCAGCCAUCUGGCCUAAUACUGACGCUGAGGUACGAAAGCAUGGGGAGCAAACAGGAUUAGAUACCCUUGUAGUC
rnacentral:rRNA from 1 species